GAUGAACGCUGACAGAAUGCUUAACACAUGCAAGUCAACUUGAACUUCGGUUUGGGUGGCGGACGGGUGAGUAACGCGUAAAGAACUUGCCUCACAGCUAGGGACAACAUUUGGAAACGAAUGCUAAUACCUGAUAUUAUGAUUUUAGGGCAUCCUAGAAUUAUGAAAGCUAUAUGCGCUGUGAGAGAGCUUUGCGUCCCAUUAGCUAGUUGGAGAGGUAACGGCUCACCAAGGCGAUGAUGGGUAGCCGGCCUGAGAGGGUGAACGGCCACAAGGGGACUGAGACACGGCCCUUACUCCUACGGGAGGCAACAGUGGGGAAUAUUAGACAAUGGACCAAGAGUCUGAUCCAGCAAUUCUGUGUGCACGAUGAAGUUUUUCGGAAUGUAAAGUGCUUUCAGUUGGGAAGAAAAAAAUGACGGUACCAACAGAAGAAGUGACGGCUAAAUACGUG
rnacentral:rRNA from 1 species